AUAGGGAAAACUCGCUAAUCACAAUCAUCACAAAGCAAAUAUAAACAAAAUUCCUAGUUCCCUUGCCCAUGCAGCUAAAAGAGUUAAGACACCAGAAUAGCUAGGUGCUUUUCAGUUUCAGUUGAGGAAAGGAUGCUAUUCUUAACCAUAAAUACUCUCAUUUUGUCUUUCUUUUUUUAAAGGGCUUACCUGUUGCUUUAGACAAACAUAUUCUUGGUUUUGACACAGGAGAUGCAGUUCUUAAUGAAGCUGCUCAAAUUCUGCGAUUGCUGCACAUAGAGGAGCUCAGAGAGCUACAGACAAAAAUCAACGAAGCCAUAGUAGCUGUUCAGGCAAUUAUUGCUGAUCCAAAGACAGACCACAGACUGGGAAAAGUUGGAAGAUGAACACUUGAGGACUUCAGCUUCUCACCUACUUAGUACAGUUGGGAACCAUACACUUCUGGCAUGUUUGGAAAUCAAAAUGUCACAUUCUCGGGGGAGGAAGCCCAGAAAAUUGGGUAUGUUCUAGAGAUUUACCACCAUUGCUUAUUGCUUUUUUCUUUAAUAAAGUUUAGGAAAGU
rnacentral:lncRNA from 1 species